GAAGUUAAGCGUGCUUGGGCGAGAGUAGUACUAGGAUGGGUGACCUCCUGGGAAGUCCUCGUGUUGCAUUCC
rfam:Triticum aestivum genome assembly, contig: Triticum_aestivum_CS42_TGACv1_scaffold_429870_5BS